rnacentral:rRNA from 1 species
AGCCAGUAUUAGAGGCACUGCCUGCCCAGUGACAAUCGUUAAACGGCCGCGGUAUCCUGACCGUGCAAAGGUAGCAUAAUCAUUUGUUCUUUAAAUAAGGACUUGUAUGAAUGGCCACACGAGGGUUUUACUGUCUCUUACUUUUAAUCCGUGAAAUUGACUUCCCUGUGAAAAGGCAGGAAUAAUAAAAUAAGACGAGAAGACCCUAUGGAGCUUUAAUUAAUCAACCCAAAAAUUAUAAAUCUUAACCACCAAGGAAUAACAAAAUUUUAUAUGGGUUGAUAAUUUCGGUUGGGGUGACCUCGGAGUACAAAAAAACCUCCGAGUGAUUAAAACCUAGGCCUACCAGCCAAAGUAUUAUAUCACUUAUUGAUCCAAAAUUUUUUGAUCAACGGAACAAGUUACCCUAGGGAUAACAGCGCAAUCCUAUUCUAGAGUCCAUAUCGACAAUAGGGUUUACGACCUCGAUGUUGGAUCAGGACAUCCUAAUGGUGUAGCCGCUAUUAAGGGUUCGUUUGUU